UACAAUCUCAAACAAAAGCGAAUUCAUUUAUUCCAUUGAAUUUUUUGUAAUCGGUGAUAAUAGUUCGGAGUGAUUGAACUGCAACUAAAAAGAUUUGCAUUGUAAUAAAGGAUCGGACCAAAGAGAAGUCGGAACGAAUUGCAGCCUGGUCAUCAUCUGGCCCUACAGACUCCCACGGACUUCCAGCGUACUCUCCCUUCUCUGCUCAACUCGGUGAACUCCGGGCCGUUUCAGGUAUUUUAAGACCUACCCUUCACAAGGAUUGCUCGUAGUUUUAAUUGUUGUUAGAGACAAUCUGUGGAUACCAAACAACAAUCGGACGCGUGAUAUAUGCCCAAAGAAUUUCCCUGCAAAUCCUCCACAUCAUAACAGGACGAUCCAAUUUUUCCUACUACCUUUGCCAAGGAAAAAGUAUCUGCCAAAUUCGCAGAAAAGUUUUUGGCCUUAUUGGACUGGAAGAAGUUCUUCUUCAUAACGGUUUCUCCAAUUUCAAAUGUUGUCUCAAUUUCCAAGAUGUGAAGUGUGAUGCAGAACAAUUCGUUGGAGCUUCGAAAUGAAAAUGAAAUCCAAUUUACCCAAUACAAAUUCAAAUAGACUUCGAGGAAGUUGUAACUUAAGUCUUCAAAACUAUGAAUUUCAAAUAACUUAUCCGAAUAUUUACUUUACAAAAAAAAACUAAUAAUUCAAAUUUUACCCACUAAACUAACCCUAAUAAUAAUAAAUUCAAUCCAAUAUAUAUAUAUAUACAAAUUCAAAUAACAAUAAUAAUAUAUACAAUUUAUUUUCAGUACCAAACCGUUAGUUGGGCGCCAAAUGUAACGGGAGGAAGGAUAUCGAGGACAAGGAGGCGAUACAACCUUCACUUAAGCGCCAGGCAAGUUUUUACACUUGCCGUGAAGGAGCGAGAUUUGUCUCUUCAGUUUCCCGUGCCCGACCGUGAGACCUCAGGGCGAGUUCCUGCCUACGAUCUUCAACCCACACUUGAAUUGUCUUGGCGCUCACCAAGGAAUAGAAUUCAAUCAAUUGGUAUUCAACAACAUCCAGGAUGGAAAGGUUUGCCUUCCCAGAGCCUAUGCUACCUCGAACCCGAAAACCGAACAAUUGAAGGGCCUCAAAACAGCCGAAAUUCAAUAAACAUAAAU